CUUUUCUAUUCAUCAAAGAUCAGUCAAGAAAGCCAUCAAACAAGAUUGUACCCAAAAAAAAAAAAAAAUUGAUAUGAUUACAAGCCAGGAAGAAAGAGAGAAGAACUUAAAGGCUAAGAGAGAUAGUCACAGAUACAGUAGGAGCAAUCUUGAAAGACCAUUAAUGCUUUCAGGGGCAGUUGUUUGCUUUGUUAGAUUAAUUUAACUCAGAUUUCAAGGCUUAUAGUGAGACAUCUUCUCAUCGAGGGGAAAUCAUGAUAGCGCUUAAAGCUCUCAACUGUGGCCCUGUUGACACUGAUAAGCUCUAUGCAGUGGUGAUGGCAACAGAAGCUUUUGAUGAGCAGAUGCUUGCAACUACUUAUGAUCAUUUGGUUUAUGAUGAAUUGGCGGGAAGAUUCUUUAGGGCUAAAAAUGCUGAACUGUGAAAAUUUUGGUUAGAGAACUUUUUAACCAAAAAUGGUGGUCACUAAAGUUUGUUAAGCAUUAUGAAACAAUGUUAAUGGUAGUAUUAUGGUUAUAUAUUAGGGAACAAUGUGUCUUUUGAAUGAACUUGGAUGGUAGUAGUGUUUUGGAUGGUUAUGUAUUAAACCAGGAUGGGAAUGGUAUAAUGGUUAUGUGUUAUGGAAGAAUGUUAAGUGUUUGGAUGAUUAUGAAUUAUAACUUAGAUGGUGGUGGUAUUAUUGUUA